GGGGCCAUAUAGGAAUACAAUUAUCGACUCACCCUUGAGUUCCUUGGCAUCGGGAGCGCACUUGCCCUCAUCGAGCAAGCACUUGAUGUAAGGUAUCAGCAGCCGGUCGUUGGCGAGGAUCUCGUCCAGGUCUACGUUGUCGUACUUCGUCGUGUAAGUACCACCAUCAGGGCGCGCGAGCACCAUGCCGGCCAGCGCCACCACACAUAGCACGAUAGCAGAGUUCAUGUUGAUGCUG
rnacentral:lncRNA from 1 species